GACGAACGCUGGCGGCGUGCCUAAUACAUGCAAGUCGAACGCAGUGGGACGGGUGAGUAAAACGUGGGUAACCUCCCAUCAGAGGGGAUAACACUUGGAAACAGGUGCUAAACCGAUACUGAUGGAUGGACCCGGGGUGGAUUAGCUAGUUGGUGAGGUAACGGCUCACCAAGGCCACGAGGCAUAGCCGGCCUGAGAGGGUGAUCGGCCACACUGGGACUGAGACACGGCCCAGACUCCUACGGGAGGCAGCAGUGGGGAAUAUUCGGCAAUGGGCGAAAGUCUGACCCAGCAACGCCGCGUGUAUGAAGAAGGUUUUCGGAUCGUAAAUCACUGUUAUUAGAGAAGCGGUAUCUAACCAAAAAGCCACGGCUAACUACGUGCCAGCAGCCGCGGUAAUAC
rnacentral:rRNA from 1 species